GGACCAUCAUGUCGGUCGUGCCUCGGUACGUACUGGUAUUGUUGGUUUCUCCCUUCUGACGAACCAUGAUGUCAUUUAUUUGGUGUCGUGGGGAAUCAGGACUGUUACUUUGAAAAAAUUAGAGUGUUUAAAGCAGGCUCACGCUUGAAUACGUUAGCAUGGAAUAAUAAAAUAGGACGUUUGACCCUAUUUUGUUGGUUUCUAGGACCAAAGUA
rnacentral:rRNA from 1 species